UUUAUGUAUUUCCAUGUCUGGUCCAUAGCCAAGUGUCUAUCUAUGAAGGAGACAAAAAGGAUUGUCGCAAGUUCUGCACCACAGGCAUCGAUGGAGCAAUGACCAUUUGGGACUUCAAGAGUCUAGAAGCAUCUAUCCAGGGUCUCCGCAUCAUGUGAAGAAGUCUUGUAAACGAAUGAAGAAAAUGCAGCAGGCCUCAUUCCCCCCCCCCCGCGCCGCUCCUGCGACGCAGCCAGUAACACAAAUAACUGACCCCCUAAUCGAGUGUCUGCUAAAGCACUGAUCAGAACACAGCACACUUGUUUGGGUGUACCAACACUCUCACGCACACACACUUAAGUACACACACACACGCAUACACUACACACACUAAGCUGACGUGUGACAUCACUGUUGAUUUUUUUGUUUGUUUGUUUUUAAAUGAAGGUUAACCAGGUGUCAAAGUGGGAAGGUCCCCUGACACGUAUUCAAACGUGAAGUGAAAUGUGUGUUUUUAUGUUAUCUAACCUCCUGUACCAAAAGUUGACACUAAAAGGUGCGUUUUAUCCAAAAGUCAGACUGCAUUUCACCUCAGAUCAACCUCAACGUGAUCACUGAACAUCAGUGUUUAGUAGAACGGAGGACGUGAUGAUUUGCUUCCUGGAGGAGAGUAAAUAUUCUCCAGCAGGUGAAGUCAUUGUUUAGAUUAGGACCCGGGUUAUUGAUGUUCUGAGGUCACGUUGCAGGUUGGCUGUAGAGAGAUGUGCAGCGUCUGACGGUGGAGAGAGAAAGCAGCUGUCUAAACUCUGUGCGGAGUCACUGCCGAACAGCACUUGGCUCUGUAGCUAUUUCACUAAAACCACACAAGAUGGAGGAUUUCUAUGUAACUGAUCAUGAGGUAGACAUGAAAUAAAGAUGAGGUCAAUUUACAGAACUCAA